CAAUGAGGGAGACAUAAUGCAAGGGCGCAAUGGCCUGAGGUACUUUUCCACCAUCGUUGUAGUUGUCAUGAGAACAAGUCAUGAUUUGAGAAGGGGGGUUGCAGCGGCCAACUCGGGGAUUGCAACGGUCGCCAGCACGUACUGGGAUCUUGUCAUUGAUUGGGGCCUCCUGAGGCGCAACGCCAAGAACUCCCGGCUAAGAGAUAAACUCACAAUUCCAAAUAGAAGUAUUUACUUUGUAGCCAUGGCAUUCUCAUGGAUUAACCCUGCUUGACUUAUGUGCAACUGCAAGUACUGAAUGUCACACUGAGACUUGCACGGAUGCAAAACAUUUUAGGCUUCAGAGAAGCGCCUUUCCUACAUAGAAUGGCCUUGAUUGCAAUCGUUGCUAGCUUGGAAAUCAUCCGCAGUGGGAUUUGGAAUUUUUUUAGAAAGGGUUCCUAAUGGAUUCAUGCUCAAUGUUGUGCGAAUGGAGGACCUAGCAUCGCCAAAUAGAAGCGGGGAAUGCAACUUUGAAGUCCCCAAAUGCUUGCGACUGGAUUCGCCGGAGAAGGAGAUGGAUGUGAGCUCAACAUCCGAAUUUUUUUAGGUAUGCUGUUGGUUUUUUUUUUUUUUAAUAUGAUAUAGCAAAACUAAGUUUGCUUGUAAACUUAAGAGUGGUUUGGAAUAUCA